AACUUUUAUUUUGACAGCUCGUUUCCAGCGGUAACGUCAGUGGAUGUUGUGGGUCUGUGUUCAGACUGCUCUGCUAGAGGAACAGAAUCAAGAGUUAUUGAAGGAAAGAUGAUGUUCGAAGUUUACUGCUCACAGGUUUGACUUUCCUUCCUGGCUAAAGUUUAUCUUCAGGAACAACUAAUCUGGAGAUUUUACGAAGGUCAAGGUUAAAUCUCACAGAAAUAUGAAGCCAAGUCCAGAAAAGGAGAUCACUCGCCACUGCUCUGAUUGUGGAAGGAUUUUUUAUAAACAGAGUAAUCUCAAAGAACACCUGCGCAUUCACACAGGAGAGAAACCGUUUUCCUGCUCAGACUGUGGAAAGAGUUUUAAUCGAAAGAGUGGUCUCAAACUACAUCAGCGUGUUCACACUGGAGAGAAACCAUUUCACUGCUCAGACUGUGGGAAGAGUUUUGCUCAACAGAGCGGUCUUACACUACACCAAUAUAUUCACACAGGAGAUAAACCGUAUCACUGCUCAGACUGUGGGAGGAGUUUUACUCAACAGAGUAAAUUCAAAAUACACCAGCGCAUUCACACCGGAGAGAAACCGUAUCAGUGCUCAGAGUGUGGAAGGAGUUUUAUUCAACAGAGUACUCUUAAAGCACACCAGCGUGUUCACACUGGAGAGAAACCGUAUUACUGCUCAGAGUGUGGGAGGAAUUUCAAUCAACUGAGUUCUCUCAAAGUACAUCAGCGUAUUCACACUGGAUAGAAAAAAACGCAUCACUGUUUUAAGUGUGAGACAAGCUUUAGACGUUAAUAAGUAUAGUGUACCACUCCUUCUACCACUCCAGGUCUCAAGCCUGAUUUAAAAAUACAGGGAUCUUAUUUAUCUAGGGGAGUAACUGUUGUUUCCAUUAAACCAUUAAGAAUCAUUAAACAUUGCAUUAUUAAGUGAAAAACAUAAAUGGCUUGAUUUUAUGACUGUAGCUACAGUAUAUUUUGCAGACAUAUAAGUCAAUAGUUGAUCAUAAUUCAUUUUUAUUCUGUAUAUGCAUAUAUUAAAAUUUUUUUUAAAGGCAGCUGGUUCUAAAAAAUCCAGACAGGCAGUUUUACAGUUUAAAUUACAUAUUAUAGGUUCUGAGUUGUCCAGCGGAUUAAAGCACUGCUACUAUGAUCAGGAGAUUGCUGGUUCGCAUCCCAUUCAUGCAGCUUGCCAUCAGCUGCUGGAGCCCUGAGAGAGCCCAAUUGGCCUUGCUCCCUCUGGGUGGGUAGAUGUUUAACCUGAUGUUCCAAACAAAGUAGGGUGUUGAAAUAAUUUAAAAGACUGUUAUUGUUAGAUUUUAUAAUAUAACAGUUUCAGUCGUUUCAUUGAUCUUUUUUUUUUCUUUGAUAUUUGUUGUUUCAUCCUUCUGUUCUUUCCCAUUUUCCCUUAAAAUGUAUUAAAUAUUAAGCACAGUGGGGCUACUACUUUGUAGAGCUCUAAAAAUAAAUAGUGCACAUAGCA